UCAUCAUGCCCCUUAUGACCUGGGCUACACACGUGCUACAAUGGAUGGUACAACGAGUCGCGAGACAGUGAUGUUUAGCUAAUCUCUUAAAACCAUUCUCAGUUCGGAUUGUAGGCUGCAACUCGCCUACAUGAAGUCGGAAUCGCUAGUAAUCGCGGAUCAGCACGCCGCGGUGAAUACGUUCCCGGGCCUUGUACACACCGCCCGUCACACCACGGGAGUUGGGAGUACCCGAAGUAGGUUGCCUAACCGCAAGGAGGGCGCUUCCUAAGGUAAGACCGAUGACUGGGGUGAAGUCGUAACAAGGUAGCCGUAUCGGAAGGUGCGGCUGGAUCACCUCCUUUCUAAGGAAUAUAUAC
rnacentral:rRNA from 1 species